rnacentral:rRNA from 1 species
GGUCAAGCGAAUAAGCGCACACGGUGGAUGCCUUGGCGGUCAGAGGCGAUGAAGGACGUGGCAGCCUGCGAAAAGUAUCGGGGAGCUGGCAACAAGCUUUGAUCCGGUAAUGUCCGAAUGGGGAAACCCACCCGCUUGCGGGUAUCCUGCAGUGAAUACAUAGCUGCUGGAAGCGAACCUGGUGAACUGAAAUAUCUAAGUAACCAGAGGAAAAGAAAUCAACCGAGAUUCCGUAAGUAGCGACGAGCGAACGCGGACUAGCCCUUAAGCUGAUUUGGUUCUAGGAAAACGCUCUGGAAAGAGCGGCCAUAGAAGGUGAUAGCCCUGUAUCUGAAAGGGCCAUUUCAGUGAAGACGAGUAGGGCGGGGCACGUGAAACCCUGUCUGAACAUGGGGGGACCAUCCUCCAAGGCUAAAUACUACUGACCGACCGAUAGUGAACCAGUACCGUGAGGGAAAGGCGAAAAGAACCCCGGAGAGGGGAGUGAAAUAGAACCUGAAACCGUGUGCGUACAAGCAGUAGGAGCUCCGCAAGGAGUGACUGCGUACCUUUUGUAUAAUGGGUCAGCGACUUACUGUUCGUGGCAAGCUUAACCGUAUAGGGGAGGCGAAGGGAAACCGAGUCUGAUAAGGGCGCAUAGUCGCGGGCAGUAGACCCGAAACCGGGUGAUCUAGUCAUGCCCAGGGUGAAGGUGCGGUAACACGCACUGGAGGCCCGAACCCACUCCCGUUGCAAAGGUAGGGGAUGAGGUGUGAUUAGGAGUGAAAAGCUAAUCGAACCCGGAGAUAGCUGGUUCUCCUCGAAAGCUAUUUAGGUAGCGCCUCAUAUGUAUCCUCUCGGGGGUAGAGCACUGUUAUGGCUAGGGGGUCAUCGCGACUUACCAAACCAUUGCAAACUCCGAAUACCGAGACGGACUGUAUGGGAGACACACGGCGGGUGCUAACGUCCGUCGUGAAAAGGGAAACAACCCAGACCCACAGCUAAGGUCCCAAAUUUUGUGCUAAGUGGAAAACCAUGUGGAAAGGCACAGACAGCCAGGAGGUUGGCUUAGAAGCAGCCACCCUUUAAAGAAAGCGUAAUAGCUCACUGGUCGAGUCGGUCUGCGGGGAAGAUUUAACGGGGCUAAGCACAGAACCGAAGCUUGGGGUGCAUACUUUGUAUGCGCGGUAGAGGAGCGUUCCGUAAGCCGUUGAAGGUGGAUUGAGAAGUCUGCUGGAGGUAUCGGAAGUGCGAAUGCUGACAUGAGUAACGAUAAUGCGGGUGAAAAACCCGCACGCCGAAAGCCCAAGGUUUCCUUGCGCAACGUUAAUCGGCGCAGGGUGAGUCGGCCCCUAAGGCGAGGACGAAAGUCGUAGUCGAUGGGAAGCAGGUUAAUAUUCCUGCACCUCGCGUAAGUGCGAUGGAGGGACGGAGAAGGUUAGGUGUACCAGGCGUUGGUUGUCCUGGGGAAAGGCGGUAGGUUUGGAUCUUUGGCAAAUCCGGGAUCCUCUAAGACCGAGCACCGAGACGAGCCUUUAUGGCAAAGUCACUGAUACCACGCUUCCAGGAAAAGCUCCUAAGCUUCAGCUUACGCAGACCGUACCGUAAACCGACACAGGUGGGUAGGAUGAGAAUUCUCAGGCGCUUGAGAGAACUCGGGUGAAGGAACUAGGCAACAUGGCACCGUAACUUCGGGAGAAGGUGCACCCUUUUUGGUGGCUCGUGCGAGCUAUAGCUGAAGAGGGUCGCAGUAACCAGGCCGCUGCGACUGUUUAUCAAAAACACAGCACUCUGCAAACACGAAAGUGGACGUAUAGGGUGUGACGCCUGCCCGGUGCUGGAAGGUUAAUUGAUGGGGUCAGCCGCAAGGCGAAGCUCUUGAUCGAAGCCCCAGUAAACGGCGGCCGUAACUAUAACGGUCCUAAGGUAGCGAAAUUCCUUGUCGGGUAAGUUCCGACCUGCACGAAUGGCGUAACGACAGCGGCGCUGUCUCCACCCGAGACUCAGUGAAAUUGAAAUCGCUGUGAAGAUGCAGCGUUCCCGUGGCAAGACGGAAAGACCCCGUGAACCUUUACUAUAGCUUUACACUGAACGUUGAGUUCGUCUGUGUAGGAUAGGUGGGAGGCUAUGAAACCAUGGCGCUAGCUGUGGCGGAGCCAUCCUUGAAAUACCACCCUGUCGUGCUUGACGUUCUAACCUGGGCCCAUUAUCUGGGUCGGGGACCGUGUAUGGUGGGUAGUUUGACUGGGGCGGUCUCCUCCUAAAGAGUAACGGAGGAGCUCGAAGGUACGCUCAGCGCGGUCGGACAUCGCGCACUGUGUGCAAAGGCAUAAGCGUGCUUGACUGCAAGAUCGACGGAUCAAGCAGGUAGGAAACUAGGACUUAGUGAUCCGGUGGUUCUGUAUGGAAGGGCCAUCGCUCAACGGAUAAAAGGUACUCCGGGGAUAACAGGCUGAUACCGCCCAAGAGUUCAUAUCGACGGCGGUGUUUGGCACCUCGAUGUCGGCUCAUCACAUCCUGGGGCUGUAGUCGGUCCCAAGGGUAUGGCUGUUCGCCAUUUAAAGUGGUACGCGAGCUGGGUUCAGAACGUCGUGAGACAGUUCGGUCCCUAUCUGCCAUGGGCGUUGGAGAUUUGAGAGGGGCUGCUCCUAGUACGAGAGGACCGGAGUGGACGAACCUCUGGUGUUCCGGUUGUCACGCCAGUGGCAUUGCCGGGUAGCUAUGUUCGGAAGCGAUAACCGCUGAAAGCAUCUAAGCGGGAAGCGCGCCUCAAGAUGAGAUCUCCCGGGGCACAAGCCCCCUGAAGGAACCAUGUAGACUACGUGGUUGAUAGGUCAGGUGUGUAAGUACAGCAAUGUAUUGAGCUAACUGAUACUAAUGAUCCGUGCGGCUUGACCAU